GACGAACGCUGGCGGCGUGCUUAACACAUGCAAGUCGAACGGGAUUUAGUAGACAGAAGCCUCGGCUAAAGAUUACUAAUGAGAGUGGCGAACGGGUGAGUAACGCGUGAGCAACCUGCCUAUGACAGUGGGAUAGCCUCGGGAAACCGGGAUUAAUACCGCAUAAAAUCGUAGAAACACAUGUUUUAACGGUCAAAGAUUUAUCGGUCAUAGAUGGGCUCGCGUCUGAUUAGCUAGUUGGUGAGAUAGCAGCCCACCAAGGCGACGAUCAGUAGCCGGUCUGAGAGGAUGAACGGCCACAUUGGAACUGAGACACGGUCCAAACUCCUACGGGAGGCAGCAGUGGGGAAUAUUGCACAAUGGGGGAAACCCUGAUGCAGCGACGCCGCGUGAACGAAGAAGGUAUUCGUAUCGUAAAGUUCUGUCCUAUGGGAAGAUAAUGACAGUACCAUAGAAGAAAGCUCCGGCUAAAUACGU
rnacentral:rRNA from 1 species